rnacentral:miRNA from 1 species
UACUCUGUAUUAGGCACUUAG